rnacentral:rRNA from 1 species
UACGAACCGUCCAAACGUUAUUCGGAUUUAUUGGGCUUAAAGGGUAUGUAGGCGGCCCUUCAAGUCGGGUGUGAAAUCCCUCGGCUCAACCGAGGAACUGCGCCCGAUACUGCAGGGCUUGAGGGAGACAGAGGUAAGCGGAACUGAUGGUGGAGCGGUGAAAUGCGUUGAUAUCAUCAGGAACACCAGUGGCGAAAGCGGCUUACUGGGUCUCUUCUGACGCUGAGAUACGAAAGCUAGGGGAGCGAACGGG